GAUGAACGCUAGCGGCAGGCCUAACACAUGCAAGUCGAACGGUAACAGAUCCUUCGGGAUGCUGACGAGUGGCGCACGGGUGAGUAACGCGUAUGCAAUCUGCCUCUAUCUGGAAGAUAGCCCGGAGAAAUCCGGAUUAAUACUCCAUAAUAUCAUUGAUUCGCAUGUUUUAAUGAUUAAAGCUCCGGCGGAUAGAGAUGAGCAUGCGUCCUAUUAGUUUGUUGGUGAGGUAACGGCUCACCAAGACUUCGAUAGGUAGGGGGCCUGAGAGGGUGAUCCCCCACACUGGUACUGAGACACGGACCAGACUCCUACGGGAGGCAGCAGUGAGGAAUAUUGGACAAUGGGCGAAAGCCUGAUCCAGCCAUGCCGCGUGCAGGAUGACGGCCCUACGGGUUGUAAACUGCUUUUAUACAGGAAUAAACCCUCGGACGUGUCCGAGGCUGAAUGUACUGUAAGAAUAAGGAUCGGCUAACUCCG
rnacentral:rRNA from 1 species